GGUUUAAUAGUCAAUUAUGACAUUAGAUUGCAAAUCUAAGGGUGAAUUAUUUCUUAAGCCU
rnacentral:tRNA from 1 species